rnacentral:rRNA from 1 species
AACGAACGCUGGCGGCAUGCCUAAUACAUGCAAGUCGAACGAGACCUUCGGGUCCAGUGGCGCACGGGUGCGUAACGCGUGGGAAUCUGCCCUUGGGGUCGGAAUAACAGUUGGAAACGACUGCUAACACCGGAUGAUGACGUAAGUCCAAAGAUUUAUCGCCCAAGGAGGAGCCCGCGUAGGAUUAGCUAGUUGGGGAGGUAAAGGCUCCCCAAGGCGACGAUCCUUAGCUGGUUUCAGAGGAUGAUCAGCCACACUGGGACUGAGACGCGGCCCGGACUCCUACGGAAUGCAGCAGAGGGUGAUAUUGCACCGUGGGCGGAGGCCUGAUCCAGCACUGCCCCGUAAGCGAUGAAGGCCUUAGAGUAGUAAAGCUCUAUUACCCGGGAUGAUAAUGACAGUACCGGGAGAGUAAGCCCCGGCUAACUCCGUG